UACGUAGGGGGCGAGCGUUGUCCGGAUUUAUUGGGCGUAAAGAGCUCGUAGGCGGUUUGGUAAGUCGGAUGUGAAACCUCCAGGCUCAACCUGGAGACGCCACCCGAUACUGUCGUGACUAGAGUCCAGUAGGGGAGCGUGGAAUUCCUGGUGUAGCGGUGAAAUGCGCAGAUAUCAGGAGGAACACCAGCGGCGAAGGCGGCGCUCUGGGCUGGAACUGACGCUGAGGAGCGAAAGCGUGGGGAGCGAACAGG
rnacentral:rRNA from 1 species